AGGCACGCUCCGAUUCUGGUCUGGUGUAUGGGUUGCAUGCUGACUCUCUGGAUAUCUUGUGUGUUCCCAUUUGACAGUCCACAUUCCUCCGCCGCACACCAUGGCCACAGGACACAGAGCACUGAGAAGACAGAGUAUGCAAUAAAUACUCAUUUUCCCAGUCCACUGGGGAAGAGGGGAAAAAGGCUUAUAUUCCUUAUGUUAGAAGCUAACAGGUAAGCUACUAGAGGCUACAAAUAAAAUUCCAAGUAAAUCUGAAAGAGUAGGCCUGAAUACAUUCUAUCACAGCUACAACAGUGGUGUACUCGAGAAUUUGAGGUAUCACCAGGCCCUGUUACACCUAAAAAGAGGCAAAGAUGGUUAUAAGGACUCAAACUUUGUGCUUGCCACUGGAGUAUUAAUAAAGAAAUCCGAAGACAAUGUGAGAUAUUCACUCCAGGAUUUUUACUUCAGCUGCUCCAAAGGUGAAUGAGAAAGUGUCUGGAUGUGUAAUCAGUGCAGGAGUUAUAGCUAGUGGGACUAGGAACCAAAAGUCCUUGGCAUUCUGAAGGUGGACUGUGACUGAAAGCCCAAGAUGGAGGCUUCCAUUGUCUUCCUCCCUUCUCCUUCUUUCCUAUUCUGCUCCGGCCACACUGAUCUCCUUCUCAUCUAUGGCAUGUCUAGUGUACUGUUGCCUCUGGGCCUUUUUUUAAUUUGCGGGGACGUGUUAAUGUUUUACAGUUAACAGUAAAUACAAUAGUUUGUACAUGCAUAACAUGUCCGAGUUUUCUACAUAACAAUACAACCCCCACUAGGUUCUCUGCCAUCCUAUCCCAGGACCUGAACUCUCUCCCACCCCCAACCCACCCCAGAGUCUUCUACUUUGGUGCAAUACAUUGCCUCUGGGUUUUAACCUGUCAUUCUGUCCCCCUGGAUACCACAUUACUUAUUUUUGUGUUUUCCUCUAUCUUUACUCAAAGACCACUUUUGUAGAGACUUGCCAGGCUGUCUUAAAAGUCCAAUUCCAGGGGGUCGAGCGAUGGAGCAGUGGGUUAAGUGCAUGUGGCGCAAAGUGCAAGGACCGGCGUAAGGAUCCUGGUUCGAGCCCCUGGCUCCCUACAUGCAGGGGAGUCGCUUCACAGACGGUGAAGCAGGUCUGCAGGUGUCUAUCUUUCUCUCCCCCUCUGUCUUCCCCUCCUCUCUCCAUUUCUCUCUGUCCUAUCCAACAAAGAACAACAUCAACAAUGGCAAUAAUAAUAACCACAACGAGGCUACAACAAGGGCAACAAAAGGGGGAAAAAUGGCCUCCAAGAGCGGUGGAUUCAUGGUGCAGGCACCGAGCCCAGCAAUAACCCUGGAGGAAAAAAGAAAAAAAAAAGUCCAAUUCCCAUUUACUUUUCUAUGCUAUCUACUACUAUCUAUCCUUUUAUUUAUGAUUUUCCACAGCAUUUAUCACAUUCUUUCACAGUAAUAUAGUUGACUCCUUUUGUUCUGUUUUGCUUAUUAAUUACAGAUUAUCUCCUCUUGCACACUAGAAUAUAAGCCUGAUGAGUUUCAGGAUUUUUGUCUGUUUUGUUCACUGCAAUAUGCCAAAUAAUUUGAGCACUGUCUGGUUUAUAGACAACACCUAAGUACUUGUGGAAUACACAGUUGAAUCCAAGAAUGAGUGAAUGAUACUACUGAAUAGGACCUAGAGCUACUUACCACAUAAGAUUUCUAAGGAUUAAGCAAGCAUUUUGCACAAUGUUAAGAUCAUUGUAAGGACCAAAUAAAAAACAACUGCCUUUUCCUAUCUCCUGUGUCCAUCCAGUCCCAAACUAGCUAAGUACUUCUGUGGUUUAACAUUUAGCUCAUUGUUAAAGAACUAAAUACUGCACGGAGAAAGUAUACCUGAGAAUGUGAUAGAUUAUAGGUGGCAAGUGGUAGAAGCUGGAAAAUUUUAAUACUAGACCACCUUGCAUAGUACUAUGAACAUUUUAGCUCUAAGUCAGAGAGCCUACCACAUACUCUAAAAUUCACAUAAUUUUGUCUGCCUAAAUAUGUUACUUUAAGAAGAUACUUUUACCUGAUGUGGGGGAGGGGUGUGGCUAUACAGAGUAAAAACAGUACAAAGGAAUGUAGUGGACAAGGAUGGGUUCUAUUUAAGUCAAAUACUAUAUAUAUAUUCUAACUGAAAAAAAUUAAGAAUACAAGACUGAAAACUCACACUUUUAUUAAAAACCAGUACAUCUAGGUUUGAACUUGACUUUUUUAAAAGCUCUCUUUCAUUUAAAAUAGAUUACCAAAAUGUAGGAUUUCCAAGACUACAAAAUUAACAUGAAGUGUGAGAUUUUGAAAUCAAUAGAAUCAAACCACCACCAUCAUCUUGAAAAUUAACUUCAGGCUAGCUACCAUCAACUUUCUCUAUGAAGUGGGUGGUUUUUAUCCAAGUAUUAGGUACAGGUCAUGUCCAUAAAGACCUAGUUUGAUUAGUCCAACAGACUUUUUUCUUAUAGAUGUACUAAUUCACAUGAUUCUAGGUUGCCGAAUGUAAUCCAGUGGACAUCAGGCCUUUUCAGAGAUCUGGACUGAGAACACUGAGUGGGCCAUGCCCAAUUUUUGAAUUCUUAAAAAAAAAUUCAAAGCCAAAUGAAGUGCUAAAAUGGAUCUAUACAAAAAAUGAGAGAAUAUUCAGCUCUCUCAUUUUUCAUAAGUAAAACAAAACAAAACCUGUAACCUGGCUAAAAACCUCUGGAAAAAACAUUUAGAUCCUAAGGGCUCAAUUUUACUAGCUUUUUAAAAAGCUGAGAAAAGCAAAAUUGAUCUCAACUAGGACAAAAAGAUAUUUCUUUCAUGUGCCACGAAUCAAAAUCAGCAUUACUUGAUGUUUUGAAAGCCCUAUCAGUAAGGAAAUAGAAAAGCACUGGGCUUGGGGAUUGGUGAGGUCUGGGUCUAAGAAUUGUAUGAGAUUUGGAAGUUUACAUAGCCUCCUUGGGACUCACUUCUCCUAGCUGCAUAGUGAAUUUAAUAGAGUCUGCUUUACAAGGACUAUAUGACAAUUAGUAAUAAUAUAUUAAAAACAUCAGAUCCAAGGCUUGGCUCAGAGCAAAUGCUCAGUAAAUGGGAACCCUUGUUAUUCUUUCUCUACUUCCAGUCAAAUCUUUCUAAGUGCAGAUGUGUGUGCCAUAACAAGGCAUAACAAGACAUAAUAAAGCCUGUAAGACAGCUGGUCAUUAAUUGAGUAACUGUGAUCUGAAGACAGA